AACAAAAGAAUAAUCUAUUGGCCGCCAUUUUGAAUAAGGUCGAUAAAUCAGGGAUUUUUCUACUCUUGUGGAUCUAUUACGCACUCUAGCCUUGCGGGAAAGCAGC